rnacentral:lncRNA from 1 species
UUAACAUCCCUUAUAACAAUGAUAGGAUGAAAAGAAUAAAUUUAAUUUCUGAACAUCCAUAGAACUCAUAAUAGAAAAUUUCAAAUAUUUGUAUAACAUGUUUUAAAUAGUAAAUUUUUAAAACAUUACAUAAUUAACUUAGCAAUGUCCACAAGCCUGGUCCUAAAAUAGGCUUAAAAAUACAAUACUUCUUAAAAAAAAAAAAAAACAAUGAUAGCUAAACACUGGACAACAGAGUGACACGAGGGAAGGCUACUAGAUGCCAUUACUUACGUAGUAAGCUGGAGUCCUCUGAUUGCGCCUGCUCCCAAUCCAAUUACUUAUCUGCCAUAAGCAACAAUUAAUUGGGGUGAGUCUUUCAUAACUCAGUGAAUGGGCAGGAAGGGCAACAAGCAUUAAGGUGGAGCUUUUGAUAAAAACAUAAUAUGUAUAUGUAUAUACAUAUAUGUAUGAGGAGAUAAACUGUGCACAGAGUUAACAAAUCAUGUGCAAAUCAAUAUAAGAUGCUUGAGUUAAAUCUCAAAAUCAGAUCACCAAGGUAUUGUGUAAAUUUCAUGCCCAUUAUAAAACAGUUAACCAUGGCAAUUUUAAGUACAGUAAAUUUUCAAUAUGUCACGUAAACAAAUAAAUCACGACCAUGGUUUUCUCAAAGCAAAUAUAAUAGUAGUGCCAUUCUCAAUUUGUAAAAACAUAUCAAUUAGGGUAUCUUCGAGUAGGUUUAGUAUAGCAUGUAGGCUCUUUCUCUCAUAUCAAUAACAUUAACACCUACUCAUGUGAACUUCCCACGCCACCACAUAUAAGUCAAGGCUUUAGGGCCCCUUUAUCUACUCCUGGGAAUCCCCCAUGCUACCAAAUAUGAGUUGGGGCUUCAAGUCUCCUUUUAUUAUCAAUUAUCAAUCAUCAAUAAUCACUACUUUGUGCACAAAGACCACAUAAAUUUGGUGUGAUAACAAGACCUAUAUUUGUAAGGUUCACCCAGGAAAAUAAACCAAUGGAAUUUCAAAUAAGUAAAAUCAAUUUCAAUCAUAAGCUCAAUAGGCACGUAUCUAUGUUUAAAUAAUGAAAGCCUUGAGCAACAUAAAAUCAGUGAACAAUAAAAUAGCAAGUUCAUGUAUGAAAAUCAAUUAGCAUGGCAUAGUUAAAAUAUUUCAUUCAAGCAUCAUGAAAAUUGCCAUUAAGGCAGAAUUUAAAAUGUUUAUGAUCAACUUCUCUAAGGCCCUUAAACGAAAGUGUAAUCCAUAAACAGUUUUGAAUAAUCAAAAUAGAUUAAAAUCUCAUCAUUUUGAAGGGCUUGUUUCCCAUUUUGUAAAACAGCUCAAUAAUAUAGUAUGCUCACCAAAUAGAUUCAUAACCAAGUUUAAAACCAUUACUAAGUAACUGGCAGCUCAUGCUUCGUAAUACCAAUUCAAAUAUAUGAAGUAUACACAAAGCAUUCGAUUUUCAUUCAAAAUAGUGAGCAUAAGUAUGUGUGUGUGUAUAUAUAUAUAUAUAUAUAUAUANUAUUACUAAAUAAGUAGAGCAUAAGUAUGUGUGUGUGUAUAUAUAUAUAUAUAUAUAUAUAUAUAAAUUUCAAGAUCCAUAUAUAUUUGGAAAAGGAAUUACCCGCUCACCUCAAUUGGUGGGAUUUCUUACCAAUAUUCUAAUCAAUUUUCCUUAGCUUAAGCUCGUUGUAUUUUUUUGGAGAGACUUAGCAUAAUUCAAUUCAUCAUCAUCACCCGAGCCUCGUUGAUUUCUUCAAACAACUGGGGUUCGAACUUAAUUAUUCACUAGUGGCAUGCACAAGGACAUUUCUCAAUACUAGGCUCAGUACUAAACUAUUACACAAUUUGGAUAGCAAGCAUAUAACAAGAAAACUCCAAUUUCAAUUUAUUUUCUUACCUUCAAAUUUCUACCAACUUGUCCUUGAUAUUCGACCACAAUGCUAGCAGAAUUUUUUUUUAUCAACACUUUCCUCCAUUACUCGUUUAAAUCAAAACAUAUUAAUUCAAUUAAACAAAUUCCAUGGUUAAACUAAGCAAUCAACCAGAAUUAAAUUCAUCAUUGCCUUACCUAGCUAGCAUCAAAUCUAGUAUUUAUAUCAUACUUACAGCAAACCAGACCAUUAUUUAAACCGCAUUUAAUCCCAACACUUAAAACCAAAUUCAAAAAUCAGCACCUAAGGCAAUUACCAGGUCAUUUAUCAAUCAAUAAGCAACCAUUUCUUACUAGCUUCUAAUUAGCAUUUCAACAUUGAAAUUACACACCACUUUAACUAUAUUCAUUUUCCUUACCUCCAAGAACCCAAUAACUCCACCCGAAAACCUCUAAUUCAAGACAUAGAAUCCAAAUUUCCAGCAAGCUCAUCUUUUUCUUUCCCAACUUCAUUGCAAUAAUUAUUAUAUUAUAGUCCGUUAAUCCCAAGCUCAUCUAAAAAUUCUUUUCCAACCAGCAGCAAAAUAUAGUAAAUAUUUAAUAAAUAAAGCCCAAGUCUCUUACCUUUAUGGCUUAACCCCACCUUAACCACAAUCUCCAGCAAGCUUUCAACCCAAGGCACCAAUGGCUCUUUAGCAAAUUUCCCAACCCAAGAUUCCCAUUGUGGAGCCUAUAAUCCUUCAAGGAUGGUUUGAUAAGCUCGGGUUGAGAAACCAAAGUUACAUUAGCUUGAACUUCAAAAUGGGGGAGGCGCUUAACUCUUUUCCCUACUCUAUCAAUAUUUUUUCAGCCUUUUCCCCAACUACAAGAUACUAUUCGGAGCUCAAAAUUCUUGAAAAUUUGUUUGGGAAUGGUCGGGUUUCAAGGGAGGAAGAAUGACAGAUUCUAAGAGUUGUAAUGGGCGGAGUCUCCUAUGUUUAACACCCUUUAAAAUUUGUUCCCUUCUUGCUUCCAAUGCAUCGCGGAUUCUCCAAUCAAAAAGGCCUUCCAAUCUGAUUUUGA